CCGUAGGUGAACCUGCGGAAGGAAUCAUUGUAUCUUAUUAGUGAGGGAGUUGAGUUGUUGCUGGGCCCUUUCCAACCUUUAUUUGAGCAGGAGGGGGCAUGUGCACACCUUUUUUUUCAUCCAUCACCCCCCCGGUCCACUUGUGAGACAGCAAUAGUUGGUGGAUUUAAUUCCAUCCAUUUGCUGUCUACUUAAUUUACACACACUCUACUUAAUUUAAACUGAAUGUAAUUGAUGUAACGCAUCUAAUACUAAGUUUCAACAACGGAUCUCUUGGCUCUCGCAUCGAUGAAGAACGCAGCGAAAUGCGAUAAGUAAUGUGAAUUGCAGAAUUCAGUGAAUCAUCGAAUCUUUGAACGCACCUUGCGCUCCUUGGUAUUCCUUGGAGCAUGCCUGUUUGAGUAUCAUGAAAUCUUCAAAGUAAACCUUUUGUUAAUUCAAUUGGUCUUUUUUACUUUGGUUUUGGAGGAUCUUAUUGCAGCUUCACACCUGCUCCUCUUUGUGCAUUAGCUGGAUCUCAGUGUUAUGCUUGGUUCCACUCGGCGUGAUAAGUUAUCUAUCGCUGAGGACACCCGUAAAAAAGGUGGCCAAGGUAAAUGCAGAUGAACCGCUUCUAAUAGUCCAUUGACUUGGACAAUAUUCUAUUUUAUGAUCUGACUCAAAAUCAGGUAGGACUACCCGCUGAACUUAAGCAUAUCAAUAAGCGGAGGA
rnacentral:rRNA from 1 species